CAGUCGCCACGGGAAUACGUAGGUGGCAAGCGUUGUCCGGAAUUAUUGGGCGUAAAGGGCUCGCAGGCGGUUUCUUAAGUCUGAUGUGAAAGCCCCCGGCUCAACCGGGGAGGGUCAUUGGAAACUGGGAAACUUGAGUGCAGAAGAGGAGAGUGGAAUUCCACGUGUAGUGGUGAAAUGCGUAGAGAUGUGGAGGAACACCAGUGGCGAAGGCGACUCUCUGGUCUGUAACUGACGCUGAGGAGCGAAAGCGUGGGGAGCGAACAGGAUUAGAUACCCCAGUAGUCCCUGUCUCUUAUAC
rnacentral:rRNA from 1 species